rnacentral:rRNA from 1 species
UAAUACAUGCAAGUCGAACGCGUCUCCGUURAUGAUUUUAGGUGCUUGCACUUGAAAGAUUUAACAUUGAGACGAGUGGCGAACUGGUGAGUAACACGUGGGUAACCUGCCCUUGAAGUAGGGGAUAACACUUGGAAACAGGUGCUAAUACCGUAUAACAACCAAAACCACCUGGUUUUGGUUUAAAAGACGGCUUCGGCUGUCACUUUAGGAUGGACCCGCGGCGUAUUAGCUUGUUGGUAAGGUAACGGCCUACCAAGGCGAUGAUACGUAGCCGACCUGAGAGGGUAAUCGGCCACAUUGGGACUGAGACACGGCCCAAACUCCUACGGGAGGCAGCAGUAGGGAAUCUUCCACAAUGGACGAAAGUCUGAUGGAGCAACGCCGCGUGAGUGAUGAAGGGUUUCGGCUCGUAAAACUCUGUUGUUGGAGAAGAACAGGUGUCAGAGUAACUGUUGACAUCUUGACGGUAUCCAACCAGAAAGCCACGGCUAACUACGUGCCAGCAGCCGCGGUAAUACGUAGGUGGCAAGCGUUGUCCGGAUUUAUUGGGCGUAAAGCGAGCGCAGGCGGUUUUUUAGGUCUGAUGUGAAAGCCUUCGGCUUAACCGGAGAAGUGCAUCGGAAACCGGGAGACUUGAGUGCAGAAGAGGACAGUGGAACUCCAUGUGUAGCGGUGAAAUGCGUAGAUAUAUGGAAGAACACCAGUGGCGAAGGCGGCUGUCUGGUCUGUAACUGACGCUGAGGCUCGAAA